UACAAGUGGAUGCUUCUGUGCUGCCGCCUGCUCAUCCUAGAGGACAAAGCAAAGCAGGGCCACGCGUUGGGGUGAGUGCAGGUUUGGGCACUCGGAAGCCCUCCUUUGUCCCCACAACCAGAGGGAGGCCCAUAUCCCCUGCGGUGGCCCGGAGUGUAUCUGCGGUCUUUGAAAACUAGGAUUGGCAUAAAAUCAUCAUAGAAUCACCAAGGUUGGAAAAGACCUCCAAGAUCAUCCAGUCCAACCGUCCAUCAGUCACCAGCAUUGCCUGGAUGAAAGCGGAAAUUACUAUUUAAGAUGUAUCAUGAACUGUGUUGCAAUUCCUUCAACAAUUUCCAAGUAAUGUUUCUAGUCCCUUUUAUACCGAAUACAGCUUUGCCUGCAAGGUGGUAAUGGCAUAAAAACUUGACAAAACUUCAAUGACGUUUCAAUUAAUGCAGGUGUAGUUAUGUUUCAUUUGAAGGUGGUGAAUAGAAACAUGAGUCCGCACACAGAAGACACGUAUGACUCUUGCAUAGCAAAUUAAGGUCAGAAUGUGAGUAUAGGAAUGUUUUUUAUUUUUGAGACCUGAAAAGAUAGUUGUCAGGUGGCUAAGCAUAGUUCAGCUGAAUGCUUUAUCUUGUGUAACAAUAAGAAUAGCACAUAAAUAUCAAAAUAUUUCCAGAUAUAAGAAUAUUUUAAGGUGAAAACAAUCCCCCAAAAUUAAUUUUAAAGAUUCAAUAUUAAUGACAGAAUGAAAACAAUGAUACUAAUAAUAGAUCUUAAAAAUGCUAACAUUCUGCAUGGCUCUGCACUACAGCCUUGAUGUGAGACACUGAAAAUGGGCUUACCCAUUCAACUGUGUUGAUUAAUAUGUGUUUUUAAAGUUUCAGUAGUCUGAUACCUUUAUCUUAAUUUAUUCUAAAAAUGAGAGUCAGCUCAUCGAGUCUAUGGAGACAUUUCUGGGUAUUAAAGUUUAUGGAUGACUAGCUGUAUGUACAAUAUUGUCAUAUUGCAGCCUUACCACUUAACAGAGUAUCUCUUAUAACUUAAAAAUGAAUCGAUCCUGUUUCCUUAAUGUAAUGGAUGGUGUAAUAACAUUGAAAUUCUCAUAUAUUGUAAUCUGUGUGGUACACUGAUAUGAAGUAUGGACAAAAUCUUCCUAAGUAUAUUUUAAUGUAUGAUGAUUACUGAGACUAGGCAGGCCAGGGCAGUAAUGCUUUUAUCUUUGUUGAGUUUUGUGUUGAUGUAUCCACAGUAAAA
ensembl:lncRNA